AUCGGUCUUUAUUCAAACAAAAAAGUUCAAUUAAUCCCUAGCACAAAGAUUUACUCAAACAUAAAGCAUAAUUUCUUCCAGCUCUCUUCUUUCAACAACCAUUAAUCGAUUUGCAAUUCAAAACUUCAGAUAGUUCAAUUUCAAAUUUGUGUGGUCUCCUGUUGUUUCAAAUCCAGAAUUUCGACUUCGUUGCGGUAGUUGUUCGCUCUCGUGUUUCACUUUUCUCUCUGUGUGUGAUAGUCCAAGUUCAAGAUUGUGUAGUCUCCUGUUGUUUCAAAUCCAAAUUUCGACUUCGUUGCGGUAGUUGUUCGCUCCCGUGUUUCACUUUUCUGUCGGUAUAUGAAUUUUGACUUCGUUGCGGUGGUUAUUUGCUCCUUUGUUUCACUUGUCUCUCGGCGUGUGAUUGAAUUUGGACACGUUGUAAACAAGGUCACAUUAUUGGACGUGUAGUGACAUGUCAUCCAACCGAAGGAAAAGAUACUAUCUUAGACUAUUGUUAAUGAAUGUAAGGGGGCCAAAAUCAUAUGAAGAUCUGCGAAGUGUAAAUGGAGUACAAUAUAAUUCAUUUAGAGAAGCUGCUUAAAAACGAGAACUAUUACUUUGUGAUAAUAAUUUGGUAGAAUGCAUGUCUGUAGCUGCAAGUUAUCAAAUGUCAUCCAGUUUAAGACAAUUAUUUGCUAUGUUAUUUAUUUAUUGUAAUCCAACAAAUCCUAGAGAAUCAUGGGAGAGAUUUGAAAGUC